AUGGACGACAGCUGCGCGGUGUGCGCGGACGCGCUCGAGUGGGUGGCCUACGGGCCCUGCGGCCACCGGGAGGUGUGCUCGACCUGCGUCGUCCGCCUCCGCUUCGUCGUCGGGGACCGUCAUUGCUGCAUCUGCAAGACGGACUGCCCCUCCGUCUUCGUCACCAAGGCCAUGGGGGACUACACGAGGGUCAUCUCCGAUUUCUCCGCCUUGCCCGCCGCGGCGAGCGAGGGGAAGGCGGGGGAGUACUGGUACCACGAGGAUUCAAGGGCCUACUUCGACGACGCCGACCACUACAAGAUGAUUCGGGCCAUGUGCCGGCUCUCCUGCAGCGUAUGUGAGAGAAUUGAGGAGGGCCAGGCGGCGCAAGCGAAGGGCAGGGACAGCACCUUCAAGACCAUUGGCCUGCUAAGGGGGCAUCUGUCCGACAAGCAUGGGCUGCGCAUGUGCAAACUUUGCUUGGAGGGGAGGAAGGUGUUCAUCUGUCAACAGAAGCUCUACACGCAGGAACAGAUGGCCCGGCACACGCAAACAGGGGACACUGAGGUGGAUGGCUCCGAGGUCGAACGCGGCGGCUUUGCGGGACACCCGAUUUGCGAGUAUUGCAAGAGGGCAUUCUAUGGAGAUAAUGAGCUUUACGCGCAUAUGACCAGGGACCACUACUCGUGCCACAUAUGUCAGAGGCGGCAUCCUGGGCAGUACGAUUAUUUCCGCAACUACAAUGAUUUGGAGAUGCAUUUUCGGAAAGAUCACUUCCUCUGUGAAGAUGACGCGUGUUUGGCAAAGAAGUUUGUUGUCUUCCAGAGCGACGCGGAGAUCAACAGACACAAUGCAAUGGAGCACGGCGGGCGGAUGUCUCGUGCCCAGAGGAACGCCGCACUUCAGAUACCUACCAGUUUUAUGUACCAAAGGAAUGAGCAAGAUCAAAGGCGUGGCAGAGGCAGGGGCCGUAGUGCUCACCAUGACAGACCUGAUGGGGAUUUCUCAUUACCUGUGGAUGGCAGUGCAACUGCAGACCAUGGCCUUGGAAGUCGACUUGAUAGCGCAGGGGGUUCCACGAUGCUUGCUGAUGAAUCACUGUUCCCUCCACUGCCUGGGUCAAGUAACAAGUGUUCUGCUUCAACACAACAGGGGCUGCAAGGUCUUCCUAAGACCACUCUUGCAUCAAGGCUUCAACAGUCUAGGAAGGGCACCGUGAAGGUACUAUAUUCUGGUCGGCCUCAAACUGCUCAAAAUCCUGAGAUAGUACCUCAUGCUUCCACUUCCACCCACACAUGUCCUACACCUGAGCGGGAGCGGAAUGGCAGUGCAACUGCAGAGCAUGGCCUUGGAAGUCGAGUUGAUAGUGUUGCAGGGCCUUUACAGUCAUCAAGUGUCAGUUCGGCCAGUUCUCGUCGUCGAAGCUUAGGGAAUGGUCGCGUGCUUGAACAAUUGUCUUUUCCUCAUCUUCAAGGCCGGGAUAUUCCUGAUGCUAGGAUGGAUGCUGUUUCAGAUGAAACCUCGUUUGCUCCCCUCUCGGAGCAUCAAUCAAGUAAUACGCUGGCUCUUAAUCAGAGCUCAAGGGGUUCUGAGAGGCUUGGUGAUGUGUUCCUUCCAUUGCCUGGGUCAAGUAACAAAGGUUCUGCUUCAACACGACAUGGGCUGAAACCUUUUGCUAAGAACACACUUGCAUCAAGGCUUGAACAACCUAGGAAGGGCACCGUGAAGGUACUAAAUUCUGGUCGGCCUCAAACCGCUGAAAAUCCUGAGAUAGUACCUCAUGUUUCCACUUCCACCCAGACAUGUCCUACACCUGAGCAGGAGCGGGAUGGCACUGCAACUGCAGAACAUCAUGGCCUUGGAAGUCUAGUUGAUAGUGUUGCAGGGCCUUUACAGUCAUCAAGUGUCAAUUCAGCCAGUUCUGGUCAAAGCUUAGGGAAUGGUGGCGUGCUCGAACAAUUGUCUUUUCCUCCUCCUGGAGACCAGGAUAUUCCUGAUGCUAGGAUGGAUGCUGUUCCUGAAAAAACCUUGUUUCCCCCCCUCUCAGAGCAUCAACCAAAGCAUGCACUGGCUGUUAAUCAGAGCUCAAGGGGUUCUGCGAAGCAUCAAGCAAAGCAUGCACCGGCUGUUAAUCAGAGCUCAAGGGAUUCUGCGAGGCUUGGUGAUGAAUCAUUAUUCCCUCCAUUGCCUGGGUUAAGUAACAAGGGUUCUGCUUCAACACAACAGGGGCUGCAAAGUCUUGCUAAGAACACAUUUGCAUCAAGGCUUCAACAACCUAGGAAGGGCGCCAUGAAUUCUUGUCGGUCCCAAACCACUGAAAAUCCUGAGAUAGUGCCUGAUUUUUCCACUUCCACCGAGGCAUGGCCGACGCCUGAUCAGGGGCUACAUCUCUCUGGGUCUUCUCACCUUCGGACUGUACCUCAAUCGACAAGAGAUAAUGGGCUCGUGCCACCUGCCUCCAGUGGUUCAGCAUGGAAUUCCAGAGCUCCAAUCAAGAUGAAGCACUCUGUUUCUACCCCUAAUCUUGUUUCUGGUGGGUCCUCUACCCAGGCAUCAUCAAGUACAGCUUACGGCAAUAAACACCAAGUGUCACCUCAAAGCAGCCAGCCUUUGCCUCUUGCGGAGGAUGUUCGGCAAGCGAACAACGCCCUCAUGGAAAAAAUGCGUGCUGCAUUUGGAAUGGAUGAGGAUAGGUUCUCUGCGUUUAAAGAAAUUGCUUCUGAAUACCGUCACGGCGUCAUUGGUACUUCGGAGUAUCUCUCCUAUGUGGAGCAGUUUGGUAUAUCGCAUCUUGUUCCUGAAAUGGCUAUACUGUUGCCUGAUCCUCUGAAGCAGACCGAACUUGCUGAGGCCUAUUACGCCAACAUGCGCUCUAAAAGCCUGAAAGAAAAUGGCAGUUUUGAAACCAUUACCUUGAAAGAGAAAUUGCUUCAGGAAGGAGAGGCUGCAGUGCUUUCAAAGGAUGGGUACCGAUCUUCCAAGGAAAGAACCCCACUAUCUGCUGGAGGUGAUCAAGUUGCCAUUUCAAAGGCGUCUAGCACCAGUAGGUAUGUGGGCAAGGGUGGAGGAAGCAGCAGCAGUAAUAACAACAGUAAACAAUCAAAGAAGACGUCAAAGUUUCUCAGAGCUCGGUUGGGCGACAACUCAUUGGCUAUGCUUGAUUUUCGUCAUCCUGAUGAUGUGAGCCCUGAAAGAAACGUUUGGAAGAAGGGUGUGGCGCAGAAGCUCUUUUCCGGCAAUGCAAAGAAAUAG
rnacentral:rRNA from 1 species